CUGCCGCCACUCCACCCUAGCCGCCUCCUCUCCUCGCGCCGCUGUCGCCGCCGCUUCCACCCUUCCUCUGGGCCGCCUCGUCUCCUCCGCCUCCGCCUCCACCACCUCCUCCUCCCCUUCCUCUCCCCCUCCCGUGCCUCCGCACCCGACUAGAACGGCCAGACCACGUGACGUGGACGAGGAGACGACAGCUCGGGAGGCAGGCUCCUUCCAUGGCGGCACCCCAACCUGCCGGGUUUUCCUCCUCGUCAGCCCAGCGGAGAGGAGCGGUGGAUCCGCCUCCUCUUGGACCUAGCGCCCGAUCCGAGGUGUGCGGGCGCGGACGAGCUUCCCCCGCCGGCCCGCGGCAGCGGCGACCUACAAGCAAAGGGCAAGGGCGAGGCGACGGCAGAGAGAGAGAAGAUGAGAGGGAGAAGAAGGAAGGAGAGGAGGGAGAAAGAGAGAGAGGAAAGAGGAGAAGGAGGCGCGUCGUCGGAUGGGAGAGGGUCACCGCCGGUCGAGGCCUGCGCGUGGCGGUUCGAUGUGAUCCUCGCCCCUUCUCUUCCUCGUCCCGCCGGCCUCAUUCUCUGUUACUCUCCCGUUGGCCGUGGCGCCAGGUCGCGGCGGAGGAUCUGGAGCUGAGCCCAAGCAGUUGAGGUUGAGGAAGACGGAGGUGAGGGAAGCAGCAACAAGACUGCUGGCUGGUGACGGGUCAGCGGCCACGAGAGGAGGGGGAAGGGGGACGACGUCAUGCUUUCUCGCCACCUGCACGUCCUCGUCCCACAGUCCGUUGCUCCUUGUCUGCGCCGUUUCAACUCCAGCUGCAACAGACAGGGAGGCAGAAGAGAGGACAUGCUGAAGAAUGAAGGUGGACAAACCAGGUGCACAUGAACAGCAAGGCAUGUUUGGCGUCGUACUUGACCGUGCUGCAGAACAACAUCUUGUGGUUCUACCCAAGGGUUGACGCCGAGCACCGGGCCGUACUGCAGGAGUAGCGUCAUGCGUCCUUUGUCAACGUCCAUAGCAUCAAGGACCUCCUCACGCCCCUGUGCAGAUGGCGCUCGCUCGUGAUCACAGGAAACCGAACGACGCAUGUGCCCGUUGUCUGUCAGCGCCGACAAGGUUGGUUCUAUGUUAAGGCCCUGCGUCCUCACGUAAGAGGGCAUGAUUCAUAAGCAAACAAAUACUUCAGGCACGAUGGAUAUUGAUGUAGACUACAUCAAAGUGCUGCAGGACCAAAUUGAGUGCCGAUGUUCUGUUUUCCUGCGGUUGUCGCCACUGUACUUUGUUCCUUGCAUGAACAAAACAGGAUUAAUGAAACAACAUUCGCGCUGAAGAAGAAAAAGGAUAUGUUGCCCUUUAUAUUAUACUUGGGCGAUGGAUUCCUUCAGAUCUACAAAUUCCUCGAGUAAAGUUUGCAAUGCUUUUGUGAAUGUUUCAAAUUUUGUUUUUGUCUUUCCUUGUGGAUUGUCCAUCUGAACUAUAUGUAUCAAUGUAAACAACCUUACCUUUCCUUCUCUUUCAAUCGGUUUAAGGUACUCAUAUAUAAUGGUCACCAAUGCCCUACAAUAUGCACAUAAUUCACAAUUCUAAUUGGCUUCUUGCGCCAUGGGCGCAACUGGUUCUUUCAUUACUUUGGAACAGAAAAGUAAUAUGAGACAAAUCCAUACAAUAUGUCUUUGGUGAGACCAUGAACAACAAUCCACCCAGAUGUUGGUCCUUCUUGUGCCCAGCUGCAGCCACCGCCUAAUCUAACAAUGUUCUGUUCUUUGCUCGAGGCGCAAUGGUAUACAUUUGUUAGCACGUUAGUUCCUUAGGUGGAUCCUAGUAGAUCGAGCCGCCUCACCCCCUUGCAAGCAAACCUUGACCAUGUUUGCUGGCGCAUGCAGCGAUCACUCUACCUGAGUUCCAUGACUGCAUAUCUUAGUCACAAUAAGCUAAAUGACCAGAGCUAUUUAUAUGAUGCAUCUCUAUCUAUGUAUCCUGCUUUUUCAAAGCAAUGUAAAUGGUUUGAAUUGAUCUUAUCAUGAACUGAUCUCAUGCCUUUGUUUUGGCCUAUAAAUAUAACAUGCAAUGUAAUAUAUAAUGCUAUGUAUCGACAACAUGCUGAAAUAUCUAUUUUUGU